rnacentral:rRNA from 1 species
GACGUAGGGCGCGAGCGUUGUCCGGAUUUAUUGGGCGUAAAGAGCUCGUAGGCGGCUUGUCGCGUCGACUGUGAAAACCCGCGGCUCAACUGCGGGCCUGCAGUCGAUACGGGCAGGCUAGAGUUCGGUAGGGGAGACUGGAAUUCCUGGUGUAGCGGUGGAAAUGCGCAGAUAUCAGGAGGAACACCGGUGGCGAAGGCGGAUCUCUGGGCCUUACCUGACGCUGGAGGCGCGAAAGCUAGGGGAGCGAACAGG